rnacentral:tRNA from 1 species
UCCCUGGUGGUCCAGUGGUCAGGACUCUAUUCUUUUACUGCAGAGGACUCAGGUUUGAUUCCUGGUUGGUGAA